GGAGAAGUGGCUGAGUGGUUUAAGGCGCACGCUUGGAAAGCGUGUGGGGGAGUAAUCCCCUCGCAGGUUCAAAUCCUGUCUUCUCCG
rnacentral:tRNA from 1 species